ACUCCUACGGGAGGCAGCAGUGGGGAAUUUUGGACAAUGGGCGAAAGCCUGAUCCAGCAAUGCCGCGUGAGUGAAGAAGGCCUUCGGGUUGUAAAGCUCUUUUGUCAGGGAAGAAACGGUGAGAGCUAAUAUCUUUUGCUAAUGACGGUACCUGAAGAAUAAGCACCGGCUAACUACGUGCCAGCAGCCGCGGUAAUACGUAGGGUGCAAGCGUUAAUCGGAAUUACUGGGCGUAAAGCGUGCGCAGGCGGUUUUGUAAGUCUGAUGUGAAAUCCUCGGGCUCAACCUGGGAAUUGCAUUGGAGACUGCAAGGCUAGAAUCUGGCAGAGGGGGGUAGAAUUCCACGUGUAGCAGUGAAAUGCGUAGAUAUGUGGAGGAACACCGAUGGCGAAGGCAGCCCCCUGGGUCAAGAUUGACGCUCAUGCACGAAAGCGUGGGGAGCAAACAGGAUUAGAAACCCUUGUAGCCCC
rnacentral:rRNA from 1 species